rnacentral:tRNA from 1 species
CAGAGAAUAGUUUAAAUAAAAUAUUAGUUUUGGGAACUAAAGAUAAAGUUUCUUUUUUUUUUCUCUGA